rnacentral:lncRNA from 13 species
AUUGGUUUUAAAUGAUGAAGUAUGCUAUUAUUUUAGAUAUGUGAAGAAACAAGACUGUAGUGUGCAAAUUAAAUUUUAAAUUGCUUGAUUAAUUUAUUUUAGUGGCAUGUAGCAGCGACUAUUAUUUAUUAUGCUGGAAUAAGCCAAUUUACUGUAAAUCACUUUAACAAAUGAAAUGCCCAAAGGUAUCUUAUAAACUACAGUACUGUUUUUGUUGCAGUGAAUAUAAAUGAAUCAAAAUGCAAAUUUCUAAGGCAGCUUAAAAAUGAUUCUAGCAGCAUUUGUAUAUCAAUCAUUGACCUGACUUUCAUAGUUGAUUAUAUUCACUAAGAUUUUGUUUGUUUACAUUUUUCUUCUCUCAAAGGCUGACAGAGAUCUGAAGUUGCCAACCAUUUCCAGUGAUAGACUUCCUUUCAUUUGGCGGAGUUGUCCUGCCCAUCAUGGAGGGAGUCUAGUCACAGUCUGCCUG